AACGGCUCACCUAGGCGACGAUCCCUAGCUGGUCUGAGAGGAUGACCAGCCACACUGGAACUGAGACACGGUCCAGACUCCUACGGGAGGCAGCAGUGGGGAAUAUUGCACAAUGGGCGCAAGCCUGAUGCAGCCAUGCCGCGUGUGUGAAGAAGGCCUUCGGGUUGUAAAGCACUUUCAGCGGGGAGGAAGGCGUUAAGGUUAAUAACCUUGGCGAUUGACGUUACCCGCAGAAGAAGCACCGGCUAACUCCGUGCCAGCAGCCGCGGUAAUACGGAGGGUGCAAGCGUUAAUCGGAAUUACUGGGCGUAAAGCGCACGCAGGCGGUCUGUCAAGUCGGAUGUGAAAUCCCCGGGCUCAACCUGGGAACUGCAUUCGAAACUGGCAGGCUAGAGUCUUGUAGAGGGGGGUAGAAUUCCAGGUGUAGCGGUGAAAUGCGUAGAGAUCUGGAGGAAUACCGGUGGCGAAGGCGGCCCCCUGGACAAAGACUGACGCUCAGGUGCGAAAGCGUGGGGAGCAAACAGGAUUAGAUACCCUGGUAGUCCACGCCGUAAACGAUGUCGAUUUGGAGGUUGUGCCCUUGAGGCGUGGCUUCCGGAGCUAACGCGUUAAAUCGACCGCCUGGGGAGUACGGCCGCAAGGUUAAAACUCAAAUGAAUUGACGGGGGCCCGCACAAGCGGUGGAGCAUGUGGUUUAAUUCGAUGCAACGCGAAGAACCUUACCUGGUCUUGACAUCCACAGAACUUAGCAGAGAUGCUUUGGUGCCUUCGGGAACUGUGAGACAGGUGCUGCAUGGCUGUCGUCAGCUCGUGUUGUGAAAUGUUGGGUUAAGUCCCGCAACGAGCGCAACCCUUAUCCUUUGUUGCCAGCGGUCCGGCCGGGAACUCAAAGGAGACUGCCAGUGAUAAACUGGAGGAAGGUGGGGAUGACGUCAAGUCAUCAUGGCCCUUACGACCAGGGCUACACACGUGCUACAAUGGCAUAUACAAAGAGAAGCGACCUCGCGAGAGCAAGCGGACCUCAUAAAGUAUGUCGUAGUCCGGAUUGGAGUCUGCAACUCGACUCCAUGAAGUCGGAAUCGCUAGUAAUCGUAGAUCAGAAUGCUACGGUGAAUACGUUCCCGGGCCUUGUACACACCGCCCGUCACACCAUGGGAGUGGGUUGCAAAAGAAGUAGGUAGCUUAACCUUCGGGAGGGCGCUUACCACUUUGUGAUUCAUGACUGGGGUGAAGUCGUAACAAGGUAACCGUAGGGGAACCUGCGGUUGGAUCACCUCCUUACCUUAAAGAA
rnacentral:rRNA from 1 species